rnacentral:piRNA from 1 species
UGAAAUACCACUAUCACUUCCACAGCCCACC